GAUGAACGCUGACAGAAUGCUAAACACAUGCAAGUCAACUUGAAUUUGGGUUUUUAACUUAGGUUAGGGUGGCGGACGGGUGAGUAACGCGUAAAGAACUUGCCUCACAGCUAGGGACAACAUUUGGAAACGAAUGCUAAUACCUAAUAUUAUGAUAAUAGGGCAUCCUAUAAAUUAUGAAAGCUAUAAGCGCUGUGAGAGAGCUCUGCGUCCCAUCAGCUAGUUGGAGAGGUAACUGCUCACCAAGGCGAUGAUGGGUAGCCGGCCUGAGAGGGUGAUCGGCCACAAGGGGACUGAGACACGGCCCUUACUCCUACGGGAGGCAGCAGUGGGGAAUAUUGGACAAUGGACCAAGAGUCUGAUCCAGCAAUUCUGUGUGCACGAUGAAGUUUUUCGGAAUGUAAAGUGCUUUCAGUUGGGAAGAAAGAAAUGACGGUACCAACAGAAGAAGUGACGGCUAAAUACGUGCCAGCAGCCGCGGUAAUACGUAUGUCACGAGCGUUAUCCGGAUUUAUUGGGCGUAAAGCGCGUCUAGGUGGUUAUAUAAGUCUGAUGUGAAAAUGCAGGGCUCAACUCUGUAUUGCGUUGGAAACUGUAUAACUAGAGUACUGGAGAGGUAAGCGGAACUACAAGUGUAGAGGUGAAAUUCGUAGAUAUUUGUAGGAAUGCCGAUGGGGAAGCCAGCUUACUGGACAGAUACUGACGCUGAAGCGCGAAAGCGUGGGUAGCAAACAGG
rnacentral:rRNA from 1 species